rnacentral:rRNA from 1 species
AUGCCACGUGGUGCUCCUCCAGCUCCAACACGCACCGGCGUAUCCACUGCCACAGGCUGUGGUUCAUGCUGCAGCAGCCAGCUCGCUAUGCAGCAGCUGCACCACAGUUGGCCCCUCGCUCACCCGUUGGUUAGUGCACGCAUUGCUCCCAUUGUUUUCUUCAUCUUCAGCCGCCAUUGUUUGGUAACCAUUGUUGUGUUUGUGGAAGUUAUUGUUCUCCGAGCUGGUUCUUGGUGGCACCGGCAAUCCCAUCGGAAACGGUGGUGUCGUGGCAGGAGCUUCUCUGUUUCGAUGGCGACCACGGCGUGGAGUUUGCUGGACACAGCCUCGCACGCUGGUUCGACAGCGGAGGCGCGGGCGUUGAGGCGGAAUCAAUCCACAAAGAUUGGCCGUGCAUUGUGA